UAGAGAAAAUAAUGUAAUGGAGUAAAAGAAGAGAGAGAAAGAGUGAGAGAGGGGAAAUUAUAGAGAGAGAAAGAGGAAAGAGAUGGGGCAGAUCGUGAAGACGAAGAAGAAAGGACGUCCAUCUAAGGCAGAUCUAGCUCGCCGGAACGCCGCCGUUGAGCAGUCGGAAUCGGCGUCGGCGAAGCAGGAGAGAGAGCUUCGGCGAAGUGGACGGCGUCGGAAUGUUAGGUACGCUUUCGAUAUCGACGAUUACCUGGACGACGAUGAGUACUUCGUUGAAGACGAUGAGGAUGAGAGAGGGAGAGAGAAGAAGCUGAAACACUUGCUUAAGCUGCAGAGCGAUGAAAUCGGUGCUGAGUCAACUCCGAGUCGGACUCGGAGAGUACCUGCCACGUCGGCAUCGUCUUCCGACGACGGCGAAGGGAGAAAGUCCUCUAAAAAGAGAAAAAUUAACGACAACAACAACGACGAAGACGAAGAAGAAAAUGAUGAUGAAAUUGAAAAUGACAAUGAAAUUGAAAUUGAAAAUGAAAAUGAUGAUGAGGCUAGAGGAAGGAAUGUAGAAGCAAAAGAUGUGGAUUCUGCUCCAGGGACACCGUCUGAACCACAUUCUGGAAUCCCGUUGCCAGAUAAGAAGACAAUGGAAUUGAUUCUCGACAAGCUACAGAAGAAAGACAUAUAUGGUGUUUAUGCGGACCCUGUUGAUCCUGAAGAGCUUCCUGAUUACCAUGAGGUGAUUGAGAAUCCCAUGGACUUUGCCACUGUCAGGAACAAGUUGGGAACUGGAUCAUAUGCCACUUUGGAGCAAUUUGAGAGCGAUAUCUUCCUCAUUUGUUCAAAUGCAAUGCAGUACAAUUCAUCAGAUACUAUCUACCAUAAACAGGCACGUUCCAUCCAAGAGUUGGCUACAAAGAAAUUUGAGAAGCUAAGAAUCAAGUAUGACCGCUCUGAAAAGGAUGUCAAGGUAGAACAGAAGACGAAAUACAGCUCUGUUGUCAGGAAGCAAAUAAAGAAGCCGAUGGUCCAGAUGUUCCAGGAAACUGUUGGCUCUGAUUUCUCAUCGGGUGCCACUCUUGCCGCAGCUGGAGAUAACCACUAUCUUAACAACACUUCUCUUGCUGGAGUGUCAGAGAAACCUUAUGGUGUUGAUGGGCUUGCUGAUGGAAAUUCUUCACUGAUCGAUCAAAAUGUAGACAAGGCAGAAGAAUCACUAUCAGGGAAGGGUCCUCUAUCCAGAUUUGGAAGGAAAUCAACUGUGCCUGAUGAGAACCGUCGUGCAAGUUACAGCAUAUCCACACAACCAGUUGGCAGCACCGAGUCCAUAUUUUCAACGUUUGAAGAUGAAAGCAAGCACCUGGUCACUGUUGGGCUUUAUUCUGAUCAUGCAUAUGCCAGGAGCCUAGCCCGGUUUGCUGCAACUCUCGGUCCUGUUGCAUGGCGAGUUGCAUCCCAUAAAAUUGAACAGGCAUUACCUCCUGGAUUCAAGUUUGACCGUGGGUGGGUUGGGGAAUAUGAGCCACUUCCAACCCCAGUAUUGGUGCUUGAGAGCUAUACCUUGAAGGAACCUCCAUUCUUCUCCCAGUCUCUGCAGAAGUUGGGAGCUCAAAAGAAUGAGAAAACAUCUGAGGACACAAUUGCUCCAAAAGAUAAACCUCUUUCUAGGUCUAUGUUAGAAGGAAAAUCACCAUAUCUUGGUUCAACUAAGGGUAAGCCCAUGGAAAGCGGUUUGAAUAUCUUGACUACCACGAAGGAGCAAUCACCUAGGGAGGUCAAUCUAGAAGGAAGGUCAUCUUUUCUUUCUUCUGGAAAGAAACCUCCUGUUUGUGCUAACCCCAGAUACCAGCAUCUAGAUUUGCAAUCCAGAAAUUUCAAUGAACCUGAUAAAAAGAUCCAUGAACGUGAGAAAAAGAUCAAUUUCAAAACUGAAACUGAUAAAAAGCUGCAGAAGCAGGUUGAGUUAAAUUGCCCACCCUCAGUCAAUCAAAGGAAUCCUGAAAUUACCCGAAAGAGUAAAGUUACCAGUACUUCUGAAAUACCUGGAUCGAGGUCUGCUGGGGCAAGUCCGAGGAACCCAUUCUCGUCUGGGUCAUUUAAGCAACCAGCCAAGAAUGGAACUGCUGUUGGAGGACUGCCCAAUGGGAGAGCAGUGAAUAACAACCCAGACACUACACCAGCGGCACAUUUAACUGCUGAGAGUGUCUCAACCGUGAGAAAAGAUGCAGGUUUCUUUCACCAAGAACAGGAGCAGGGCCUCAGUGACCCUGUUCAGUUGAUGAGAAAGUUGUCUGAAAAGGCUCAAAAUCAACAGAACUCUUUGAGUCAGUCCUUAACUGAUGUUUCUCCAAUUUCCCCUGCGACUCCAUCUGUGAGGAAAGAUGAUUCAGGAAAUGCCGCCGCUGCUGCUGCCCGAGCAUGGAUGUCAGUUGGGGCAGGAGGAUUUAGACAAGGCAUGGAAACAGCAAGCUUGCAGAAUAUUCAUAUUUCUGCUGAUUCAUUGUAUAAUCCUUCUCGCAAUGUCCAGCAACAAUCUUCACAAGUUCGGGGUGAACAUCCUGCAUCAGCAAUGCCCUUUCAGGCUGAGAGAAACAGUAGUCCACUUCAUGCUUUUGUGCCUCAUCCUGGGAGAGGGGGCAGUGAAGCUCAGUUCCAGAAUCCGCCAAUGAUUUUCCGCCAAUCAAUACCUGCUGACUUGUCUAGGUUCCAGGUACAAUCUGCUUGGCAGAGUUUUAAUCAACCAGCACAACCAAGGCAGAAGCAGGACUCCCUCCCCCCUGACUUAAACAUUAGUUUCCAGUCAUCUGGGUCUCCUGGUCGGCCAUCUUCGACUGUUUUGGUUGAUUCUCAGCAGCCAGACCUGGCCUUGCAAUUAUGAGACCAGGCAAUUUCUGAUAAAAUAUUUGAAGAGGUCUGAACCUACAAGACCCUUUGGAUCUUUCGGCUGGCAUGUCUGAAUCAUGUUUUUGGGUAUCACUGCUUCAGCAAACUACUAGCAUCUGCCUGUAAUUGCUGAAGGCUUUGAUAUCGGGUCUCAUUUCAUUGGAUGUUUAGUUAGCAACUCAACAAUUGGAGUCAGCUGCUUCAAAUUUUUUUUUUUGGAUGUUCUGAGAUAUUAUUCUUCACGGGGUAUGUUGUUGUAGUGAUGGAAAAGGUAAUAGAUCUAGUUCAGGUUUAGGAUAGACAGUGGGCACAACAGGAAGGAGGAUCACUGUCUAGGUCACAACUCGUGGAUCAUUUCAUGUCAAUCGCUGACUUGGAAGUGCGGUUUAUAUAGCUGAAGAAGGAAGCAUGUUACGUUAAUAAUAGUUCGUUCGUUCCAGUGUUUUCUAUAUGGUGAUUUACUGAGAGAAUUGCUUUAAUUCAUUGUACAUUGGAGCAAGGUGGGACUAGUCUUUGGAGUUUUUGUCAUUUUUCCUUCAAUCAUUGUAGUUCUACCUCAUUUAUCUCCUUUACAUAUGCAGGUUCUCGUCUACAUUUAGUGGCAUAAUAUUCAGAGAAAUGCAAACGAAUUGAUUUGAUGGCAGCUAGUCAAUCUCUCAUGCUGAGGUAGGUGCAGCUUAUACGCUAUGGUCCGAUUAAACUCCAGUGCAAAUAACUAAA